rnacentral:rRNA from 1 species
AGUGAACGCUGGCGGUAGGCCUAACACAUGCAAGUCGAACGGCAGCACAGUAAGAGCUUGCUCUUACGGGUGGCGAGUGGCGGACGGGUGAGGAAUACAUCGGAAUCUACUUUUUCGUGGGGGAUACGUAGGGAAACUUACGCUAAUACCGCAUACGACCUACGGGUGAAAGCAGGGGAUCUUCGGACCUUGCGCGAUUGAAUGAGCCGAUGUCGGAUUAGCUAGUUGGCGGGGUAAAGGCCCACCAAGGCGACGAUCCGUAGCUGGCCUGAGAGGAUGAUCAGCCACACUGGAACUGAGACACGGUCCAGACUCCUACGGGAGGCAGCAGUGGGGAAUAUUGGACAAUGGGCGCAAGCCUGAUCCAGCCAUACCGCGUGGGUGAAGAAGGCCUUCGGGUUGUAAAGCCCUUUUGUUGGGAAAGAAAAGCAGCAGGUUAAUACCCCGCUGUUCUGACGGUACCCAAAGAAUAAGCACCGGCUAACUUCGUG